AUUGUGUUAAUUAUUUUUAUUUGUUCAUUCAUUUAGUUUCUAUAUAUUUAUCUACUUCCUCAUUUUGGAACCAGAUUGGAGAAAUAAGAAGAAAGGCAAGGGCUCGUGCAUCUGAAG
rnacentral:ribozyme from 1 species